AUGGCUCAUUACAACAGCUUUAGUUUACAGGAUGAUGYYGYUUAAUGGAUAACUGUGGUAAUUCUAGAGCUAAUACAUGCACUUAUAUCCAACCCGCAAGGGAUGGAUGCAGUUAUUAGAAUAAAACCAAGCAGGCUUGCCUGCAACUUGGUGACUCUGAAUAACCCAGUGAUCGCACGGUCUUCGAACCGGCGACAUAUCCUUCAAAUGUCUGCCUUAUCAACUGUCGACUGUAGUUUAUGCGCCUACAGUGGUUGUAACGGGUAACGGAGAAUUAGGGUUCGACUCCGGAGAGGGAGCCUGAGAAACGGCUACCACAUCUAAGGAAGGCAGCAGGCACGCAAAUUACCCAUUCUUGGUACGAGGAGGUAGUGACGAAGAAUAACAGGACGGCCUCUUAUUGAGGCCCGUCACUGGAAUGAGAACAGUUUAAAUCCUUUAACGAGGAUCUAUUGGAGGGCAAGUCUGGUGCCAGCAGCCGCGGUAAUUCCAGCUCCAAUAGCGUAUAUUAAAGUUGUUGCGUUUAAAAAGCUCGUAGUUGAAUCUGCGUCCAUUGGUUGACGGUCCCCUAACGGGAGUACUGUUUUACCAGGACCAAAUAUCUGGUUUUCUUUUGAUGCUCUUCAUUGAGUGUCUUAAGUGACUGGAGAGUUUACUUUGAAAAAAUCAGAGUGCUCAAAGCAGGCUUUUAGCCUGAAUGGUGGUGCAUGGAAUAAUGGAAUAAGACUUCGGUUUUAUUUUCAUGGCUUUCGAAUCUCGAAGUAAUGAUUAAGAGGAACAAACGGGGGCAUUCGUAUUGCAGCGUUAGAGGUGAAAUUCUUGGAUCGUUGCAAGACGUCCUACAGCGAAAGCAUUUGCCAAGAAUGUUUUCAUUAAUCAAGAACGAAAGUUAGAGGUUCGAAGGCGAUCAGAUACCGCCCUAGUUCUAACUGUAAACGAUGCUAACCAGUGAUCUACAGGAGUUGAUCAAUGACUCUGCAGGCAGCUUUCGGGAAACCACAGUUUCUGAGCUCCGGGGGUAGUAUGGUUGCAAAUCUGAAACUUAAAAGAAUUGACGGAAGGGCACCACCAGGAGUGGAGCCUGCGGCUUAAUUUGACUCAACGCGGGGAAACUCACCCGGCCUAGACACUGAAAGGACUGACAGACUGAAAGCUCUUUCUCGAUUCGGUAAGUGGUGGUGCAUGGCCGUUCUUAGUUGGUGGAGUGAUUUGUCUGGUUAAUUCCGAUAACGAACGAGACUCUAGCCUAUUAAACUAGACUGAUAAUCAAUAGUUAUCAGAGCUUCUUAGAGGGACGAUGGGCGUUUAGCCCAACGAGAUUGAGCAAUAACAGGUCUGUGAUGCCC
rnacentral:rRNA from 1 species